CAAAGAGAAUAAUAAUAUUAAUGAAAAUAAAAGUACUAAUGAGUUUGCUUUCCAACAACAAGUGUUGCGACAGUUACAUUCGAUAAACUUCCGUAUACAACAAGUGCAACAAGACAUGAAUCUUUUAAUGGAAAAUAGAAAUAAAGAAGUCAAUAAGUCAAUAGAAGAAGAUAAUGCAAUUUUCAAUAAAUUUGAAUUUCCAUUAAAAACUGAAACAGAAAUGCACGAAUUAGAGGAGUAUUUAACGAAUAAAAAGCAUGCAAACCAAUUCGUUAAAGAACUGAUAGAAAUAGGAGGACUGUCACACAAAAGUAUGACACAAAGAAUUUUGCAAAAAUUAUUUUCGGAUAAUAUCGCUCAAACAUACAGUUGGGUUGGUUUUAAAGGAAAAAAAAAUUUUUCGAUACUUCAUGUUACAUCCACAAUUUUAACUGCAGUAAAAAAAUACAUGCAACCUCACUUGCAGAUAUUGAAAAAGUAAUUAAAUUAUGGUUAGUUAAAGCAAAAGAAAGGCAAGAAAAAGAAACCAAGACUUUAAAGAAGCCAAGGCUGACUAUUUAGACAGUUGCAUUAUAAAAAGUUGUUAUUGUGUUGUGUCAGAACACAGAGCUCGAUAAGAGUUAUGCAAAGAAGAAGAGAAUAGUAGAUUGUGGACACCGAUAAAAUUUUUAUUUUUUUUAUAUUCUUUUAUUUUUAAUAUCUUUCUCAUACAGCCAAUUAAAUUAAAAGCGUAAAAGCGCAAAGUUUUUGUUAUACGUAUAAGUUUUAUAUAAGAAAUAGCAUUUAUGUUUGUAUCACACUCCAGAAGGUUAAGGAGAAUCGUGCACACUCCGAGGGAUUAUGCAAUGAAUACCAACGAAUUUUAAAAAUUUUUUAAAUUUUAUUUUUAAUAUGUUUUUCUUAUAUAAUUAGUUUAAUUUUUGUUAUACGUAAUAUAUAAGUCUUUAUAUAAGAAUCACAUAGCAUUUAUAUGUUCGUAUCACACUAUUAAUCUUUAGAGGAAAAAAGCGUAAAAUUUUUAUACGUGUAUAAGUCUUUAUAUAAGAAAUAGCAUUUUAUGUUUAUACACUCUUUACCUUUAGAGAAAAGGUUGUAAGGAGAAUUAUUGUGUCACACUCGGAGGAUUGUGGACACCAAUGAAUUCUUUUAUUUUUCAAAUUUUAUUUCUAAUAUGUUUUUCUCAUAUAAUCAGUUUAAUUUAAAAAAAUAAUGUUUUUGUUAUACAAGAUGAAAUCUUUUGUAUCUGAAUAAGAAUGGCACACAUUAUGUUUGGUGUUACAUUUUCUUUAAAAAAAUUGUCAUUUAUUAAGUUUUGAAUAAGUA